AACGAAGCGCCGAGCCAGCAAACCAGCUCCCACUGCCCCUCCCCUGCCCGCUGAGAGUGGCGGCUAGCAGGGUUGGGGGGGCAGGAACUGAGGGGUGCGGAUCCGGGCCCCCCAGCCUGCGAUGCGCACUCGCAGGUCGAGCGGGCGUCGUCCACCCUUCGGAGCCCCGCUUUCAUGCGCGAAAUCCCCAGAAGUCGCCUGCGACCGCCUCCCUGCUUCAAACACCAGAGAGGGCCCGGGGUCCUGGCCGGAGACAGGCCGAACCUCCGGAGCUCCUUCUGCACCCGGUACAUGGACCGAACUGAUGGGCUACGCGCCCGGAAGAGCUGGGGAGAUGAGGCCAGCGUCCAGCUUCUCCCCCAAACCCAGCACGCCGAGCUUUGUCCCCGGGGAGCGUGAAGUCACCAGCUCCGGAAGGCGACAAUAUGAGGGCGAUGGACGGGGCAGGGACCCCCGGAAGCCCCAGCAGUUCUCGGGGAAGUGGGGGUGCCGGAGGAGUCGGGGACACUCUCGGGCCUCUCCAAGCCGGGAGCAUCCCCAGCGCCCGCAGCCCUGUGAGACGCCGGGUGUUCUGGUUAUGGGCCCUGCCGCCAGGCCUCGGCGCUUUGUCCCCGGCCCGCCCGGGGAUGCUACCGCGCUAGAGUUGUACACCAAGGUUUGCCUUCCCAGGAAGCGCUGGCGGCCGCCUGGCGCAGAGCCCCAGGCAGCAGGCGCCGCGUGUGCGGGCGGGAAGUUCCCACAGUUGCAAAGAGGGAGCGAAGUAUGUGUUCCAAACUUUCCACGGUUCCAAACUGAGCGCUUCCAUUAAGAGAAGCGGUGUGCGGGGGAAAAGCAUUCUGGGUAUUAGCAUGCAAAUGAACGGGCCCGGCUUCCAACUCCGCUCGGGAUUCCCACCGAUACGCGCCGAGCUCGCGCCCAGCCACGCGCGCCCUGAGGCUUCCGGGCGUUGCCCUGGCGUUUGAUCCGAGUUCAAAAUCGAGACAUCUACCUUCUGGUUUUGUGUCCCAGUGCUUAGUCACUUGGCCUCCCUGAGAUUCAGUUAAACUGACUGUUACUUAACCUGUACACGGGGACAGCAGCACCUGUCUUGCACACCUCCGCUCUAGGGCAUAGUAUAUGCCAAACUCUGUUGGAGAGAAUGAAUGAGCCUUAGAGGCUUGAAGAAAGUUCCCUGGACAUGAAGCCAGGAGUUCUGUGUCCUAAGCCCAGACUCACUGUCACCUUGGGCUAGUGACUCCUGCUCUGAGCCACAGCUUUCUUGGGCGGAUUUUGGGAACUGGCACGUUUUAUUUUUGAGAGAGCUGCUGGGAAAGGGUCCGGGCGCGGCGGCUCACGCCUGUAAUCCCAGCACUUUGGGAGGCUGAGGUGGGCGGAGCACCUGAGGUCGGGAGUUCGAGACCAGUC